UGUAGGCUUUGACUACUACAAUCUUCUUCAAUUUCUUGAAGACAGAUUGUUGAGUGCUUUCAUGGCCUUCAUCUUCAAGAAAGCUUAUGGUAUCCUGAGAAAAGUAUGGAAGAAAAAGGCCUAGGAGUCGUUUUCAAUCAGACCAUGGAAUAGCUGCAGACAUCAUCACAAAACUGGACUUCCAGACUAUGCUAGACAACAAAAUUUCAUGUUAUUACUACAAAGAAUAUAUGAUGCAAAAUUCA